UUAAACACGACAUAUAUGAAUAAAUAUGAAUGUACUGAUAACUUGAGAUUUGUUUCCAAUAAAAGGUUGUUGUCCCUUGUUUUCAUUAUUUCUGAUGAUAAGCAUUGAUUAUUCCUCGUGUGAAUAUUUGAAUAUUAAGACAGAAAUAGUUUCAAUCACUUAAAUUGGCAGUAGCUCACAUAUAUCAUUGCUGCUCUCUUGUAUUUUAUAUAGGAUUAAACAUUAUUUAAUUUUCAUCACAGUUAUAGGUAUACUUUAAAUUCCCUUCCUGUAGAGACUUGGGAAGCUAUGCAAUUUUUGUUUGAUUGACCAAAUAUGACAUGGUACUCAUUGUAUAUAUUAUAACUGCGAAAUCGAAUAUUUCUGAUACUUAAAUAUUUUAUAUAACCCUUCUGUUUUUGUCUCUAAAAGUGUUUAAAUAUGA
rnacentral:lncRNA from 1 species